rnacentral:rRNA from 1 species
AUGAGUUGUCCUGAUGGCAUCAACAUCUCCGAUGGCAAGUUCUACCUAGGAGAUGUUGGCUAUGCAUGUCAGCCAGGUGUUCUUCCACCCUUAAGGAAAAUCAGGUACCAUCUGAACGAGUUCGCUAGUAACUAUCCUAGAACUCCACAUGAGUUGUUUAAUCUCAGACACUCCAGCCUUAGAGUUACUGUUGAGAGGGCAUUUGGAGCUCUGAAGAACAGAUUUAAGAUCCUAGAUCAGAAGCCAUUCCACACUUUCCCCACCCUGAUUAAGAUUGUGCUUGACUAUUACAUUCUGCAUAACUGGAUCCUGCAAUGUGGUUGUGAUGAACUGGUGCCCGAGGAAGAUGUGACACCUGGCGAUGUUGUCAGCUCCGGCCAUGGUGUCGAGCCAUUUGACAAUGAAGGUUGAAAGAACAAAAGGAUGGAGUUGUCACAGACAAUGUGGAAUAACAGAGGUCAGACAAGGAUCUAG